rfam:Paenibacillus sabinae T27, complete genome.
UAACCGGUGAAAGUCCGGUCACGGGAGGGGCCAAGCCCCCGCGUAGCUAGGAUACUUGCGUAUGGCGAAAUCUGUACGUAAAAGCGUAUCGACGAAAGUACCGGUCAGAGGCCGGGCGAGCAACCGGCCAGGCCGUAACAUGA